UCGAACCCGAACGGCGUCCGGCCACAAGC
rnacentral:piRNA from 1 species